ensembl:misc_RNA
GCUUUGGGAGACACCCUGAAGGAAAGGUGACUUCUUUGUUUGAAACUAACAACCACCACAUGAGACAAACAAAUUAAGUACAGUUAUUUUUCAAAGAACACAAAUUAAGUGUUCGAAGAGUUUGCACUUUCUCCUUGCAUUGUGUUGCUCAUGAAGAAAGAAGUUUGAAAGGAUGGAUAAAACACCAUCAGAACAAAAGCUGG